UUGAGUUCAAGAGUACGUGAAACCGUCUGGGAGUAAACGGGUGGUUCCCGAAAGUACGAAAGGGGAGAUUCAGGUCNUCGCUGCGCGUCGGGCGGCGCCCGCGAUCAGAGAUGGUGUUCUCGCGGCCGGGGGGCAACUCUCGGUCCGGGGGGGCAACUCUCGGUCCGGGGGCUCCACUCCGCGGGCGCCGUUUGGUCCCGACGCCGGAGUGACGCACUUCUCCCCCAGUAGAACGUCGCGACCCGUCGGGCGCCGGCCUAAGGUCCCGGGUGGAGUCUUGUUUCGCUGCGCUAGACCCCGGGGAUCCCGGCCGGGUGCUCGACGGUACGAAGAGAGGAAGGAGUCGACGCGCCGCUCGUCGGCGUCCGGCCCUCCGCAAGCGCCCGCGGGAGUCCGAGACUCCGGGCCCGGCCCGGUCUCGGUCCCUCCGCGGGGCUGUUUGCGAUAUAGGAGGUGUCCUCGGAC
rnacentral:rRNA from 1 species